UGUUCUGUGGCUUAGUUGGUUAAAGCGCCGGUCUUGCGAAUACGGAGUCGUGGGUUCGAAUCCCACCGGAACGC
rnacentral:tRNA from 1 species